GCGGGGGUAGCGAAGCCAGGUCAACCGCGGAAGUGAGAUCACUCUCCCUGCGGAAAGGACUCAAGAUCCUCUCCCUUAGGGGUUCGUGGGUUCGAAUCCCACCCCCCGCA
rnacentral:tRNA from 1 species